rnacentral:rRNA from 1 species
UGAACGCUAGCUACAGGGCUUAACACAUGCAAGUCGAGGGGCAGCAUAGCGAGAGCUUGCUUUUGCUGAUGGCGACCGGCGCACGGGUGAGUAACGCGUAUCCAACCUUCCCUGUACUAGAGAAUAGCCCGGCGAAAGUCGGAUUAAUGCUCUAUGUUCUUCUUUGAUGGCAUCUGACGAGAAGCAAAGGUUUACCGGUAUAGGAUGGGGAUGCGUCUGAUUAGGUAGUAGGCGGGGUAACGGCCCACCUAGCCGACGAUCAGUAGGGGUUCUGAGAGGAAGGUCCCCACAUUGGUACUGAGACACGGACCAAACUCCUACGGGAGGCAGCAGUGAGGAAUAUUGGUCAAUGGGCGAGAGCCUGAACCAGCCAAGUAGCGUGCAGGAAGACUGCCCUAUGGGUUGUAAACUGCUUUUAUGCGGGAAUAAAGGUGCCCACGUGUGGGUGUUUGCAUGUACCGUAAGAAUAAGGACCGGCUAAUUCCGUGCC